rnacentral:rRNA from 1 species
UACAGAGGUGGCAAGCGUUGUUCGGAAUUACUGGGCGUAAAGGGCGCGUAGGCGGUCUUUUAAGUUCCGUGUGAAAUCCCUCGGCUCAACUGGGGAACUGCACGGGAAACUGGAAGGCUUGAGUUCGGGAGAGGGAAGCGGAAUUCCGGGUGUAGCGGUGAAAUGCGUAGAUAUCCGGAGGAACACCGGUGGCGAAGGCGGCUUCCUGGGCUAACACUGACGCUCAUGCACGAAAGCGUGGGGAGCAAACAGG